GAAAUGCGAUAAGUAAUGUGAAUCGCAGAAUUCAGUGAAUCAUCGAAUCUUUGAACGCACAUUGCGCCCGCCAGUAUUCUGGCGGGCAUGCCUGUCCGAGCGUCAUUUCAACCAUCAAGCCCCCGGGCUUGUGUUGGGGACCUGCGGCUGCCCGCAGGCCCUGAAAACCAGUGGCGGGCUCGCUGUCACACCGAGCGUAGUAGCAAUCACCUCGCUCAGGGCGUGCUGCGGGUUCCGGCCGUUAAACAGCCUUACAAAACCCAAGGUUGACCUCGGAUCAGGUAGGAAGACCCGCUGAACUUAAGC
rnacentral:misc_RNA from 1 species